rnacentral:rRNA from 1 species
UACGUAGGGGGCAAGCGUUGUCCGGAUUUAUUGGGCGUAAAGAGCGUGUAGGCGCCAGUUAGGUCCGUUGUGAAAACUCGAGGCUCAACCUCGAGACGCCGAUGGAAACCAACUGGCUAGAGUCCGGAAGAGGAGAGUGGAAUUCCCGGUGUAGCGGUGAAAUGCGCAGAUAUCGGGAAGAACACCCGUGGCUAAGGCGGCUCUCUAGUACGGUACUGACGCUGAGACGCGAAAGCGUGGGGAGCGAACAGG